rnacentral:rRNA from 1 species
UACGUAGGGGGCAAGCGUUGUCCGGAAUUAUUGGGCGUAAAGAGCGCGUAGGCGGUCCGAUAAGUCGGCUGUGAAAGUCAGGGGCUCAACCCUUGAAAGCCGGCCGAUACUGUCGGACUAGAGUCCGGAAGAGGCAAGUGGAAUUCCCGGUGUAGGCGGUGAAAUGCGCAGAUAUCGGGAGGAACACCAAUGGCGAAGGCAGCUUGCUGGGACGGUACUGACGCUGAGGCGCGAAAGCGUGGGGAGCAAACAGG